rfam:Treponema denticola ATCC 35405, complete genome.
ACCGCCAUGGACGGCGGUGGUUUCAAACUUCGAGAGUUUGCGCUUGCCGCAAACUCUAAGAUUAAAAAUGUGCAUGGACGCACAUUUUUAAUCCACC